AUUGAACGCUGGCGGCAUGCCUUACACAUGCAAGUCGAACGGCAGCGCGGACUUCGGUCUGGCGGCGAGUGGCGAACGGGUGAGUAAUACAUCGGAACGUACCCUGUUGUGGGGGGUAACUAGUCGAAAGAUUAGCUAAUACCGCAUACGACCUGAGGGUGAAAGUGGGGGACCGCAAGGCCUCACGCAGCAGGAGCGGCCGAUGUCUGAUUAGCUAGUUGGUGGGGUAAAGGCCCACCAAGGCGACGAUCAGUAGCUGGUCUGAGAGGACGAUCAGCCACACUGGGACUGAGACACGGCCCAGACUCCUACGGGAGGCAGCAGUGGGGAAUUUUGGACAAUGGGGGCAACCCUGAUCCAGCAAUGCUGCGUGUGUGAAGAAGGCCUUCGGGUUGUAAAGCACUUUUGUCCGGAAAGAAAUCGCGCUGGUUAAUACCUGGCGUGGAUGACGGUACCGGAAGAAUAAGCACCGGCUAACUACGUGCCAGCCGCCGCUGUAA
rnacentral:rRNA from 1 species